UAAUACAUGCAAGUCGAGCGAACGGAUAAGGAGCUUGCUCCUUUGAAGUUAGCGGCGGACGGGUGAGUAACACGUGGGUAACCUACCUAUAAGACUGGAAUAACUUCGGGAAACCGGAGCUAAUGCCGGAUAACAUUUGGAACCGCAUGGUUCUAAAGUAAAAGAUGGUUUUGCUAUCACUUAUAGAUGGACCCGCGCCGUAUUAGCUAGUUGGUAAGGUAACGGCUUACCAAGGCAACGAUACGUAGCCGACCUGAGAGGGUGAUCGGCCACACUGGAACUGAGACACGGUCCAGACUCCUACGGGAGGCAGCAGUAGGGAAUCUUCCGCAAUGGACGAAAGUCUGACGGAGCAACGCCGCGUGAGUGAUGAAGGUUUUCGGAUCGUAAAACUCUGUUAUUAGGGAAGAACAAAUGUGUAAGUAACUGUGCACAUCUUGACGGUACCUAAUCAGAAAGCCACGGCUAACUACGUGCCAGCAGCCGCGGUAAUACGUAGGUGGCAAGCGUUAUCCGGAAUUAUUGGGCGUAAAGCGCGCGUAGGCGGUUUCUUAAGUCUGAUGUGAAAGCCCACGGCUCAACCGUGGAGGGUCAUUGGAAACUGGGAAACUUGAGUACAGAAGAGGAAAGUGGAAUUCCAUGUGUAGCGGUGAAAUGCGCAGAGAUAUGGAGGAACACCAGUGGCGAAGGCGACUUUCUGGUCUGUAACUGACGCUGAUGUGCGAAAGCGUGGGGAUCAAACAGGAUUAGAUACCCUGGUAGUCCACGCCGUAAACGAUGAGUGCUAAGUGUUAGGGGGU
rnacentral:rRNA from 1 species